rnacentral:tRNA from 1 species
GCUUCCAUAGCUCAGUAGGUAGAGCACUUCCAUGGUAAGGAAGAGGUCAGCGGUUCGAGCCCGCUGGAAGCU